CCCUGCUCAGCCAAACUCUGAUCCAAAGGAAGCCACCGCCGUCAUAUCCACAUCUAGCCAUACUUCGUUUGAAAGCUUCCCGGGCUCUGUGAGUGCUGGCUUUUGGGACCUAUUUUUGAGGGGAAAGAAUAUGGUCAUUGCUUCCUUCUGGAUACACUGAACCCUCGAUAAAGGACUUGGAGGUGGCUUGUGUGACUUUUACUGCUGAAGUAAAUAGGCUUUGUUUUAAGCCUGGUACCUAAUCAAUCCAGAACUUAGCUGUGUUUAUAUGCCACAGGGAAGUCAAAGCCAAUGCAUCUUGGAACUGACUGAAAGUAAAUGACCACUGUGUAGCUCCCUGUAUUAAUGCAUAAGGCCCUCUAGACUGAAAUAUACCAUGCAAAACAUGGCAUACAGAAAGACAUCUUGAAUAUUUCCUGUGACUAGUCAAGACCCUAUCAAGGAGGUGAUCAGUAUCAUCUGCACUCUAACUGAAUCUUGCAUUUAUACCCUAACUGAAACUUGCAUCCUUUUGUACACUGUUUCUCCUCUAUCUUUCUAGUUGGAACAUAUCCCUUAAUACACAGAUUUAGGGUUUAUCCUCAACAGUGUCAUUAGCUGACUGUCUAAUGGAAUCAACCUCUUUCUCUAUCUUUAUAUGAAAUUAUUUAUUUAUUUGGAUUUCCUCAUUAUCAGAAACAUACCCAUGCAAUUAUUUAAAGACUUGAUUUUGUCCUAAAUUAGGUAAAAUAGGAUAAUGAAAUGUGUAUCCAUAUGUAAUAAUCAAAUAGAGAACCCAAACCUAUUUGUAUCCAUAAUUUAAACAGAAUAAGUAAGGUAACUGCAUUAGUUUCCAAAUGCUGCUAUAACAAAUUUCUAAAAACUUAAUGGCUUAAAACAGCACAAAUUUAUUAUGUUACAGUUCUGAAAGUAAGGAGUCUAAAAUGAGUUUGCAAGGCUGCAUUCUUUCUGGAGGCUCUAAGGAAUAACCUGUGUUCCUGCCUUUUCCGGCUUUUAGAGGCUACUCACAUUUCUUAGCUUAUGGAUCUUUCCUCAUAUCACUCAGAUCUCUGCUUCUAUCAUCACCUCUCUUACUCAAACACCGACCCUCCUUCCUCUCUCUUAUAAGGAUGCUUGUGAUUAUGUUGGGCUUACCUAAACAAUACAGAUAAUCUCCACAUCUCAAAAUACUUAACAUUAUCACACCUAAAAAGUCCCUUCUACUGAGGUUAUAUAUUCACAGGUUUCUGGGACUGGGAUAUGAACACCUUCAGAGCUAUAUUCUGCCUACUACAAUAAGCAAUACCCAAGCUAGUAUUUUAUUUUGUGCCCGAGGAACUGUAUUUUCACAUCUCAUUUCAGCUAUGCUUGGUCAUUCUACAUCUUUAUCAUCCAAGGUGCAGAUGAAAUAAGAGUGUUUUGCUCUGUGGAAUAGUAGAAAGUGCAUUGGCUUUGGAGUCAGAAAGCCCUAUUUUCACACUCUGGCUUUUCCAUUGAGCCAACUGUAUGGCCAUGAACAAGACAUUUAACUUCUCUGAUCCCUGACCCUUUGAAUGUAGUGUGGUCCUCAAUAAAUGGUAGUUGCUUUAACAAAAUAAUAAUUAUUGUCAAAUUUCAAACCCCAGGCUCCCAGCUUUAUACCCAUUGUCUUUAUUCCUUCAAUGAGGGAGUCCCUUCUCUCGUCAUAUUUCCAGAAAUACUGUCAAUAUUCCUAUCAUGCUUUUCCCAAGUAAGGAAUGUGAACUCAAACCACUUUGUAAGUGUUGGAUCACACACUUCGGGCCAUGCCUUUCAUCCUGGCAGGAAGGCAGUGUGCAUGCUAUCCUGCCAGGCUCACUUGCUAUCCAGCCCAGUUCCUAAUACUCAUGAACCUUCCCAUGCUCUCCAACUCUUAGACGGAGAGAGCAUUUUUAUCUUUAACUCAUAUGAAUAAUGCUGGCAAAAUAAUUGCAGGUGAACAGUUAUUCCAAUUAACAGUGUUUUAAAGUCUAUAUUCUAAGAAGAGGAUUUACUAGAUUAUAAACUUAAUAUUGCUCAGAAAUAACAUUUCAUACACUUUAACGGUUUUUCUGCAAACUAUCCCCUAAAUUAU
rnacentral:lncRNA from 1 species